AAGUCAGAUGUGAAAGCCUCCUGUUCAACAGAAGAAUUGCAUCUGAAACUGCGAGUCUUGAGUGUAGGAGGGGAGGAUGGAACUUCUGGUGGAGCGGUGAAAUGCGUAGAUAUCAGAAGGAACGCCGGCGGCGAAAGCGAUUCUCUGGCCUAUUACUGACACUCAGUGUGCGAAAGCUAGGGGAGCAAACGGGAUUAGAUACCCCGGUAGUCCUAGCCGUAAACGAUGGGCACUAAGUAGAGGGAAUUACCGAUGUUCUCUCUGCCGUAGCUAACGCAUUAAGUGCCCCGCCUGGGGAGUACGGCCGCAAGGCUAAAACUCAAAAGAAUUGACGGGGGCUCGCACAAGCGGUGGAGCAUGUGGCUUAAUUCGAUGCAACGCGAAAAACCUUACCGGGGCUUGACAUGGUAGAAGUAGGAACCCGAAAGGGUAACGAACGGUAUCCAGUCCGUAGCUAUCACAGGUGUUGCAUGGCUGUCGUCAGCUCGUGUCGUGAGACGUUGGGUUAAGUCCCCUAACGAGCGAAACCCUUGUUUUUAGUUACCAGCGGGUUAUGCCGGGUACUCUAGAAAGACUGCCGUCGUCAAGACGGAGGAAGGUGGGGAUGACGUCAAGUCAUCAUGGCCCUUAUGCCCCGGGCUGCACACGUGCUACAAUGGUCGGUACAAACGGAAGCGAAG
rnacentral:rRNA from 1 species